UACGGAGGGUGCAAGCGUUACUCGGAAUCACUGGGCGUAAAGAGCGUGUAGGCGGGUAUAUAAGUCAGAAGUGAAAUCCUAUAGCUUAACUAUAGAACUGCUUUUGAAACUGUAUACCUAGAAUGUGGGAGAGGUAGAUGGAAUUUCUGGUGUAGGGGUAAAAUCCGUAGAGAUCAGAAGGAAUACCGAUUGCGAAGGCGAUCUACUGGAACAUUAUUGACGCUGAGACGCGAAAGCGUGGGGAGCAAACAGGAUUAGAUACCCUGGUAGUCCACGCCCUAAACGAUGUACACUAGUUGUUGUGAGGCUCGACCUUGCAGUAAUGCAGUUAACACAUUAAGUGUACCGCCUGGGGAGUACGGUCGCAAGAUUAAAACUCAAAGGAAUAGGCGGGGACCCGCACAAGCGGUGGAGCAUGUGGUUUAAUUCGACGAUACACGAAGAACCUUACCUGGACUUGACAUAGUAAGAACUUUCUAGAGAUAGAUUGGUGUCUGCUUGCAGAAACUUAUAUACAGGUGCUGCACGGCUGUCGUCAGCUCGUGUCGUGAGAUGUUGGGUUAAGUCCCGCAACGAGCGCAACCCUCGUCAUUAGUUGCUAACAGUUCGGCUGAGAACUCUAAUGAGACUGCCUACGCAAGUAGGAGGAAGGUGAGGACGACGUCAAGUCAUCAUGGCCCUUACGUCCAGGGCUACACACGUGCUACAAUGGGGUAUACAAAGGGCAGCAAUACGGUGACGUGGAGCAAAUCUCAAAAAUAUCUCCCAGUUCGGAUUGUAGUCUGCAACUCGACUACAUGAAGUUGGAAUCGCUAGUAAUCGUAGAUCAGCUAUGCUACGGUGAAUACGUUCCCGGGUC
rnacentral:rRNA from 1 species